rnacentral:rRNA from 1 species
CAGGCCUAACACAUGCAAGUCGAGGGGCAUCACAUGAGGUAGCAAUACUUCUGGUGGCGACCGGCGCACGGGUGAGUAACACGUAUGCAACCUGCCUUCAACAAGGGCAUAACCCGUUGAAAGACGGACUAAUUCCCUAUGACACAGGGGUCCCGCAUGGGGAUAUUUGUUAAAGAUAUUAUCGGUUGAAGAUGGGCAUGCGUUCCAUUAGCUUGUUGGCGGGGUAACGGCCCACCAAGGCAACGAUGGAUAGGGGAACUGAGAGGUUUAUCCCCCACACUGGUACUGAGACACGGACCAGACUCCUACGGGAGGCAGCAGUGAGGAAUAUUGGUCAAUGGACGCAAGUCUGAACCAGCCACGUCGCGUGAAGGAAGACGGCCCUACGGGUUGUAAACUUCUUUU